UACAUGGGGGUGCAAACGUUGCUCGGAAUUAUUGGGCGUAAAGCGCGCGUAGGCGGUUACUCAAGUCGGAUGUGAAAGCCCUCCGGCUUAACUGAGGAAGUGCACCCGAAACUGAGUAGCUAGAGUACUAAAGAGGGUCGCGGAAUUCCCGGUGUAGAGGUGAAAUUCGUAGAUAUCGGGAGGAACACCGGUGGCGAAGGCGGCGACCUGGGUAGAUACUGACGCUGAGGCGCGAAAGCGUGGGGAGCAAACAGG
rnacentral:rRNA from 1 species